UUCUUAUAGUUGCCAAUGACGAAAACUACGGCCAGGAAUUCGCUCUCGCUGCGUAAGCAGCCUUAGCCCUGAGCUUCUGGUACCUUCGGGUCCAGCAAUCACCAGGGGAUGUCUGUAAACCCAAAGUGAUUGUCAUAUAGAACAGAAUCGCCGUGCAGUACGUUGUGGACGAAGCGGCUAAAACUUACACAACUCGCCCAAAGCACCCUGCCCUUCGGGUCGCUGAGGGUUAACUUAAUAGAAACGGCUACGCAUGUAGUACCGACAGCGGAGUACUGGCGGACGGGGGUUCAAAUCCCCCCGGCUCCACCA
rnacentral:tmRNA from 1 species